rnacentral:rRNA from 1 species
AUUGAACGCUGGCGGCAUGCCUUACACAUGCAAGUCGAACGGUAACAGGUCUUCGGAUGCUGACGAGUGGCGAACGGGUGAGUAAUACAUCGGAACGUGCCCGAUCGUGGGGGAUAACGCAGCGAAAGCUGUGCUAAUACCGCAUACGAUCUACGGAUGAAAGCGGGGGAUCGCAAGACCUCGCGCGGACGGAGCGGCCGAUGGCAGAUUAGGUAGUUGGUGGGAUAAAAGCUUACCAAGCCGACGAUCUGUAGCUGGUCUGAGAGGACGACCAGCCACACUGGGACUGAGACACGGCCCAGACUCCUACGGGAGGCAGCAGUGGGGAAUUUUGGACAAUGGGGGAAACCCUGAUCCAGCCAUGCCGCGUGCAGGAUGAAGGCCUUCGGGUUGUAAACUGUCUUUUGUACGGUAACGAAAGGUACUUUUACUUAAUAAAGAAGAACUCAUGACGGUACCGUAAGAAUAAGACACCGGCUAACUACGUAGUACCAGCAGCCGCGGUAACG